UUUCUUUUCUUUAGUCCUCUUCUGACCGUUAGAGGAGAGAGAUAUUGGAGCACGUGUGCUAGCUGGCAUUUAAUAAUGGAAUCCAAUGCUCAACAAAUAUAUUUUUUUUUUGGAACUACUAUUAUUAUUUUAUUGUCAAAGAAAAUAUGUCUAUUUCAAAAAAAUUAUAUAAUCGAUAAUCUCAUUAGAUAAUAAGAAAAUCCUAAUUAAUAAAUUUGAAUAUUUAGGAAGAAACAAAAAUAAAACGGUUAAAUAUGCAUAAAAGUCAGGCGUAAAUUUGC
rnacentral:lncRNA from 1 species